GGGAGCAGUUUCCUGGACCUAGGCAGAGGCUCGACUCCACCACACUGCCCCUAUUCUCAUCUGUGAAAGGGAAACCAACAGCAACAGAGCCCCACGCUGGAGUCCCUAUGUCUUGGCAGUACUGGGCCUCUCUUCCCACUCUGAGCUAGUCCAUUUGACUUGCCUGUACACAGGAGGAACGACCAUCGUGACAAACUGCUAUCUCAACCACAAGUGAGAUUUCUGUUGGGAGUAGCUCCAUAAAGGGAAGCUGUUGUAUCCUAAGCACCCGAGCAUGACGCUGCCUGUUCCGCUCUGCUUCGUUGCAAGGCCCCACCACGGCACAACUGCGCUGAGCCAGAGAGUCGGUCAAGAAAGAUGGGUGGUGACUUCCAGAGCAGUUCAAAGCAGCCUGGAGCCAGGGUAGAGUUCAGUGCCAGCGCACUCACCUCACAUAUGCAGGCCCUGGAUUCAACACCCCCCCCCCCGAAAGUGUGGGAACACUUGAAAAACCACAACAGAAAGCAGAAUGUGUCUUACAGGAUCAUAGAUUCAUAAAAUCUGUCUUUCAUAA